rnacentral:rRNA from 1 species
CCUACGGGAGGCAGCAGUAGGGAAUAUUGCUCAAUGGGGGAAACCCUGAAGCAGCAACGCCGCGUGGGGGAUGAAGGUUUUAGGAUUGUAAACUCCUUUUGUUAGAGAAGAUAAUGACGGUAUCUAACGAAUAAGCACCGGCUAACUCCGUGCCAGCAGCCGCGGUAAUACGGCGGGUGCAAGCGGUACUCGGAAUCACUGGGCGUAAAGAGCGCGUAGGCGGGAUAGCAAGUCAGAUGUGAAAUCGUAUGGCUUAACCAUAGAACUGCAUUUGAAACUGUUAUUCUAGAGUUUGGGAGAGGUAGGUGGAAUGCGUGGUGUAGGGGUAAAAUCCGUAGAGAUCAAGAGGAAUACUCAUUGCGAAGGCGACCUGCUAGAACAUAACUGACGCUGAUGCGCGAAAGCGUGGGGAGCAAACAGGAUUAGAUACCCGAGUAGUC